rnacentral:RNase_P_RNA from 1 species
CGAGAUGGCCAGGCGGUCGCGGCAGUGACGGGUGACCUUCACUGGCGAGGAACGUCCGGGCUCCACAGGGCAGGGUGGUCGCUAACGGCGACCCGGGGCGACCCGCGGGACAGUGCCACAGAGAACAGACCGCCGGCUUCGGCCGGUAAGGGUGAAACGGUGGUGUAAGAGACCACCAGCGCCGCCGGUGACGGCGGCGGCUCGGUAAACCCCACCCGGAGCAAGGUCAAGAGGGGCCGCGAGGCCCUGCGCGAAGGUCCGAGGGCGGCCCGCCCGACACGCGCCGCGACGCGGCGCGCACCUUCGCGGGUAGACCGCUCGAGCACGUCGGCAACGGCGCGCCUAGAUGGAUGACCGCUCUCGACAGAACCCGGCGUACCGGCCGUCUCGUCCC